AUAAAUGCAUACUAAUGUGACAGUUGUAAUCUGUAAGCAUUAUUUAAAUAUAUAGUAAUCAUUCGUAGAAGCGUUUGUAUUCAUUUAAGAUCAAGAGAAAAAUGGAGCAGAACGAGUUGUAUUUUCGCUGUUUGAUAUCCGAACAAGAAAAAACGCGAUACAAACGAAACAGGAAAUAUGUACUGUGUAUGAAUAAGAUGCUGUAUAUAACUGAAGAUAUAUGUAUUAAAAAUGGUUUGCGAAGUUUCGUGCUGGUGAUACGACAUUUAAAAUUGAGGAGCGCUCUGGUCGACCGGCUGUCGUUAAUGACGAAGAACUCAAAACUUUAUAAUCGCGAAUAAUCAGCGAUACAUGACGUGGAAGAUUGCCAAGAUUCUCCAUUUAUACAAUCACUCAUAAAUCGAGCGUUUGCACAAGCUGGUAUAUGUGAAUCGUUUGGUUAAGUGUCACAUAAUUUAAGUAGAAAGAAUUUCCAUUUGUGAUUCAUUAUUUAAACGUAACGAAGACCACCCAUUUUUUAAACGACUUAUAACAAGUGAAAAAAAUAAGUUACUUAUAAUAAAUAACGCAGUACGCAAAAGAUCCCGAGGAAAGUGUUCAGAAAAGCUGUUAACCGUUCCAAAGCCUGGGCUUCAUCCAAAGAAGAUUAUGCUAUGUAUUAUUUGGGAAGGGUGUCGUGUAUUAUGAGUUUCUUUCAAAGAACGUAUAAUAUCGCUUAAUUCAAACAAAUAUUGUGCCCAAUUAAACAAACUGAAGGAAAUCAUUACAGAAAAACGCUCAAAAUUGAUGACUAGAAAAGGUGUUUUAUUCUAUCAGGACAAUGCUGGGCCUCAUAUAUGUUUCUUUAAUCACUCGAAACAAAAUAUUGCGACUCGGUUGAGAUCUUCUACUUUACCCAACUGCAAAAACCACUUUCAACAGUUCUGAGAAAACGCUUGAAUUUUACGCGUGAAAAAUUAUGCAGCUGUCCAAAAGAUGGCAAGUAGAAAAUAAUAGAUUAAAGCUGCUUGAUCUGUACUGGAUUCAAAGAUUCUUUGAAGCAAGAUUAUGAAGAACGAAUUCGAUAUUCUUUUCCAGAUACUAAAUUAGAUUCUAAAGA